CAAGUUAUAAUUUAAUAAAAAUAUUUUAUUUACAAUAAAAAUAAUUGUUGUUUAAUUCAACUUAAUUUGA
rnacentral:tRNA from 1 species